rnacentral:rRNA from 1 species
AGCAGCCGCGGUAAUUCCAGCUCCAAUAGCGUAUAUUAAAGUUGUUGCAGUUAAAAAGCUCGUAGUUGAAUUUCGGGACCAAUCUGCCGGUCGUGCCUCCGGUACGCACUGGUUUUAUUGGUUUCUCCCUUCUGACGAACCAUGAUGUCAUUAAUUUGGUGUCUUGGGAAAUCAGGACUGUUACUUUGAAAAAAUUUAGAGUGUUUAAAGCAGGCUCACGCUUGAAUACAUUAGCAUGGAAUAAUGAAAUAGGACGUUUGAUUCUAUUUUGUUGGUUUCUAGGAUCGACGUAAUGAUUAAUAGGGAUAGUUGGGGGCAUUAGUAUUCAAUUGUCAGAGGUGAAAUUCUUGGAUUUAUUGAAGACUAACUACUGCGAAAGCAUUUGCCAAGGAUGUUUUCAUUAAUCAAGAACGAAAGUUAGGGGAUCGAAGACGAUCAGAUACCGUCGUAGUCUUAACCAUAAACUAUGCCGACUAGGGAUCGGAUGAUGUUAAUUUUUUUAAUGACUCAUUCGGCGCCU